UGGGGAAUAUUGGACAAUGGGCGAAAGCCUGAUCCAGCCAUGCCGCGUGUGUGAAGAAGGUCUUCGGAUUGUAAAGCACUUUAAGUUGGGAGGAAGGGCAGUUACCUAAUACGUGAUUGUUUUGACGUUACCGACAGAAUAAGCACCGGCUAACUCUGUGCCAGCAGCCGCGGUAAUACAGAGGGUGCAAGCGUUAAUCGGAAUUACUGGGCGUAAAGCGCGCGUAGGUGGUUAGUUAAGUUGGAUGUGAAAUCCCCGGGCUCAACCUGGGAACUGCAUUCAAAACUGACUGACUAGAGUAUGGUAGAGGGUGGUGGAAUUUCCUGUGUAGCGGUGAAAUGCGUAGAUAUAGGAAGGAACACCAGUGGCGAAGGCGACCACCUGGACUGAUACUGACACUGAGGUGCGAAAGCGUGGGGAGCAAACAGGAUUAGAUACCCCAGUAGUCCCUGAGCGGGCUGGCAAGGCGCAU
rnacentral:rRNA from 1 species